UGGAUUGUAGAGAGGUUUGUGCUUGUAUAUGCCUAUUAUCACAUCACAUGAAUACAUGCACUUUUGCUCUUAAAUUCAACUGAAUUAUACUUAAAAAUCUUUGUAAUUAAGGUAUAUUUCUUUCUUUCUUUUUUUUUAACUUUUUUUUUUCAAAAGGGAUGGAGCUAAGUAAAUGCCAUUACUUCUUAUUUGUGCUUAGACAGGGGCAUGUAAAGAUUCAGUAUGCCAUUCAACCGAUGCUUGAUUAAAUUGGGAAAGAAACUGCUGGAUUGUCUUUGGUGCAACUUUUAACCACAGAAUUUUAUAUCUUCUGUUGCUUUGGGUAAA
rnacentral:misc_RNA from 1 species